UACGAAGGGGGCGAGCGUUGUUCGGAAUUACUGGGCGUAAAGGGCGCGUAGGCGGCGAACCAAGUCAGAUGUGAAAGUCCUGGGCUUAACCUGGGGACUGCAUUUGAUACUGGUUUGCUUGAAUUCGGGAGAGGAUAGCGGAAUUCCCAGUGUAGAGGUGAAAUUCGUAGAUAUUGGGAAGAACACCGGUGGCGAAGGCGGCGAUCUGGACGGUGACGUGACGCUGAGACGCGAAAAGCGUGGGGAGCAAACAGGG
rnacentral:rRNA from 1 species